UAGGGAAUCUUCCGCAAUGGACGCAAGUCUGACGGAGCAACGCCGCGUGAGUGAAGAAGGAUUUCGGUUCGUAAAACUCUGUUGUUAGAGAAGAACAGCGCAUAGAGUAACUGUUAUGCGUGUGACGGUAUCUAACCAGAAAGCCACGGCUAACUACGUGCCAGCAGCCGCGGUAAUACGUAGGUGGCAAGCGUUGUCCGGAUUUAUUGGGCGUAAAGCGAGCGCAGGCGGUCAAUUAAGUCUGAUGUGAAAGCCCCCGGCUCAACCGGGGAGGGUCAUUGGAAACUGGUUGACUUGAGUGCAGAAGAGGAGAGUAGAAUUCCAUGUGUAGCGGUGAAAUGCGUAGAUAUAUGGAGGAACACCAGUGGCGAAGGCGACUCUCUGGUCUGUAACUGACGCUGAGGUUCGAAAGCGUGGGUAGCAAACAGG
rnacentral:rRNA from 1 species